CUAGUUCUAGACUACAGAGUCUCAGAUUAAGGUAAUCAAGGACCAGUGAGAUCAUCUUUUGGAAACCCGAUUAGAUUAAUGGCAUGCACAUGUGGCUAAGGAGAGGUUGCUAUAAAAACCUGGUAUGGAAUACUUGUAAUUCAUUAGUCUUAAGGAGUGUGUGGAACAGGAGUCACUACAGUUAACCAAAAAAUGGAUAAAGGCAGAAGAAAACACUCAAAAAACUUCAGUGAAUUUGAGGAGACCCUUUUUAAACAAAUUGUAUCAAACUAUCCUGUAAUUGAAAACAAACAGCAUGAUUCAGGUACAGAAAACAAGAAGAAGAAGGCAUGGAUUUCCAUAUUGAAUGAAUUCAACUCAAAUGAAAAAGUAACCAAACGGACACUCCAACAAGUUCAGGUCCUGUGGAAAAACAUAAAAAUAAACCUGAAAAAACAACUGCUGCUAUGCGUCAAGAGCGUUUCAAGACAGGUGGGGGACUCCCAGUUACACCAGACACAGAGGAGUUGGGGGACUUGUUGGCUGGGAUUAUUGAAAGUCAGCAACCCCUGGAAGGUAUUCCAGAUGAUGACCAUUUGGACAGUUCAGAUGACCUGAUCUUGACACAGGACUUGGGGGGCGCAGGGAACAGUCAAGAUGCUCAAAUGAAUCCAGCAGCAGCCAGCACCAACUUGCAGCAGCAUCCAGUCUCCUGCAGUAGCAUUAGUCAGCAUCCAGCAGUCUCUAAUCCAGGCAGCAGGUCAAGAGGGAAAAGGAUGACCAUUCAUGAGAAACUUGCCAUAGAGUUCCAUGAACAUAAAUUACAAUAUUUAAAAGAAGAACGAAGUCAAAAUUAAAAUUCUUCAUCUUGAGCUGUCUAUGAAAGAGAGAGACAUGAAGCAGCAGCAGUGUCA
ensembl:lncRNA